GUCCAAACUCUUUUUAAUCUCCACCAUUCAUUCCCUAGCUUAUGGGAUAAGCUUGAUCAAAUUCAUUGACUCCCUCCCUUGAACUCAUAGCUUCCUCCAUAAGCCAAAUUAAAUCUCCUUUCCUUCUCUUGCAUGUCGGCUUCCUAAGCAAGCAACUAAGUCCCUUUCCCCCUUGUAUCCCUCGACUUCCUGAGAGAGCAAGUGAUUUCCCUUCUCUUCUCCAUUCACCUGUCGGUUCUAAGGCACACAAAAGAGAAAAUUUCUCGAGUGUUCCUUCCUUCACACGAGAAACCUCUCGGUUUCCUCUAGCCGCACGAUCUCUCUUCUCUUCCAAGUCGUUCCUUCCACUUCCUAAACCUAAGAUCCCCACCGAAAUUCUUCAAGGAGAAUGACCUUCAUUGGGUCUUUUAAAUUUCUCUUCCUCUUCUCGUCUGCUAUGUGUUUCUGUGGCUUGAAAGGGAGCCAAAUCAGGUAUGGAUGAAGAAGCUGUGGAGCUAGGCACUACCGAGGAGGGAGGGCCGAUGCUUAGAGUUUCCCUAAUGGUUCGACUUUGAUGAUGAUGGUUUAUGUUUUUAUGUUUUACGGUGGGUCCCAUGUUGGGACGUUUUGUUGGAUUAACGUUAAGACGGUAUGCCUUUGGGCAUGAUGUAAAUACUAUGGUGGGGUGAUGGUAAUGGUGUAACUUCUAUGGUGGAGUGAUGAUAACCCCACAUACGAUAGUUUAACACCUUUUUGUAUGUGUUAUAGGGACUGAGUCUUCUCUUAUUUAGAACUAGUUAUGUUUGAUGAAUGAAUGAUGAACUCUAAGAGUCCUUUAUGUAAAAUAUUGAAUAGAUUGUCUAUCAGGUGUUCUUUUAAACUAGAAGUGCAGAGUACAUGUAUGACACGUUCA